rnacentral:piRNA from 1 species
UUACAGAGUGUCAGACCAUCAUAUUGGAC